GAUGAACGCUGGCGGUAUGCCUAACACAUGCAAGUCGUACGAGAGUUUUUAACUCUAGUGGCGGACGGGUGAGUAACACGUGAGAAUUUGCCUUUAGGAGGGGAUAACAAUUGGAAACGAAUGUUAAUACCCCAUAUGCUUUUGAGUGAAAUGGAUUUUAUCCGCCUAGAGAGAAGCUCGCGGCUGAUUAGCUUGUUGGUAAGGUAAGAGCUUACCAAGGCGACGAUCAGUAUCUGGUUUGAGAGGACGAUCAGACACACUGGAACUGAGACACGGUCCAGACUCCUACGGGAGGCAGCAGUGGGGAAUUUUCCGCAAUGGGCGAAAGCCUGACGGAGCAAUACCGCGUGAGGGAAGAAUGCCUAUGGGUUGUAAACCUCUUUUUUCAGGGAGGAAUAAAAUGACGUGUACCUGAAGAAUAAGCAUCGGCUAACUCCGUG
rnacentral:rRNA from 1 species